GCCUGGGUGGCUCAGUCGGUUAAGCGUCUGACUUCAGCUCAGGUCACGAUCUCACUGGUUGUGAGUUCGAGCCCCGCAUCGGGCU
rnacentral:tRNA from 1 species